rnacentral:rRNA from 1 species
UACGUAGGGGGCAAGCGUUGUCCGGAUUUAUUGGGCGUAAAGAGCGUGUAGGCGGCCAAAUAGGUCGGUUGUGAAAACUGGAGGCUUAACCUCCAGACGUCGACCGAAACCAUCUGGCUAGAGUCCGGAAGAGGAGAGUGGAAUUCCUGGUAUAGCGGUGAAAUGCGCAGAUAUCAGGAAGAACACCCGUGGCGAAGGCGGCUCUCUGGGACGGUACUGACGCUGAGACGCGAAAGCGUGGGGAGCGAACAGG